GUGGGGAAUAUUGGACAAUGGGGGGAACCCUGAUCCAGCCAUGCCGCGUGUGUGAAGAAGGCCUUUUGGUUGUAAAGCACUUUAAGCGAGGAGGAGGCUACCGAGAUUAAUACUCUUGGAUAGUGGACGUUACUCGCAGAAUAAGCACCGGCUAACUCUGUGCCAGCAGCCGCGGUAAUACAGAGGGUGCAAGCGUUAAUCGGAUUUACUGGGCGUAAAGCGCGCGUAGGUGGCUAAUUAAGUCAAAUGUGAAAUCCCCGAGCUUAACUUGGGAAUUGCAUUCGAUACUGGUUAGCUAGAGUAUGGGAGAGGAUGGUAGAAUUCCAGGUGUAGCGGUGAAAUGCGUAGAGAUCUGGAGGAAUACCGAUGGCGAAGGCAGCCAUCUGGCCUAAUACUGACACUGAGGUGCGAAAGCAUGGGGAGCAAACAGGAUUAGAAACCCGAGUAGUCC
rnacentral:rRNA from 1 species